UAUUUUGACUAUACAAAGGUAUUGUAAUAAGAUUUUAAUUGAAUGCUAAGAGAAUGGAAUUUCAGGGAAAAACUGUUUUAAACUUAAAAAUUAAAUUUAUUUUAAUUUGUGAAGAAACAAUUAUUUAAAUUAAGGACAAGAAGACCCUAAGAAUUUUAAAAAUAAUAAUUUUAUUUAUUAAAAUUAUUAUUUUUUAGUUGGGGCAACUAAAAAAGAUUAUAAACUUUUUAUUUAAUAAAAUGAUCCAUUAUUAAUGAUAAUUUGAUAAAAAUACUCUAGGGAUAACAGCGUAAUAAUUUUUGAUAGAACAUAUAGACAAAAUAGUUUGCGACCUCGAUGUUGGAUUAGGAUACUUUUUUAAUGAAGAUGUUAAAAAAAGAAGUUUGUUCAACUUUUAAAGUCCU
rnacentral:rRNA from 1 species